UACGGGGGGCAGCAGUAGGGAAUCUUCCACAAUGGACGAAAGUCUGAUGGAGCAACGCCGCGUGAACGAUGAAGGCUUUCGGGUCGUAAAGUUCUGUUGUAAGGGAAGAACAAGUGCCGCAGGCAAUGGCGGCACCUUGACGGUACCUUGCGAGAAAGCCACAGGCUAUAACGAAUUC
rnacentral:rRNA from 1 species